rnacentral:lncRNA from 1 species
AGAAGGAUGACAUUUUCUGGCAACAAGGCAUCUGUAAAGAGAGGCUUGGUGUAAUUCGGCAAAUGAGGCACGACAUAGCACAGCUUAAAGUGCAAGCUAACCAGCAAGCAGCAGCUCAAAAUCUAUGCUUACCUGCAGAUAACAGAGUCAGUUAACAAGCUGACGCAAGAGAAGACAGACCCAUGGUGACAGUGGUCAUUCUCUAGACACCCAGCUCACUGAAGCAAUUGUUCAGGCCAUCCUGCAGAGACAUUACCAAUUCCCAUCUACAAUUUGUUUCAGAUGUCAAGGCAAAUGAUGCCAUAAGCACACACCAAAUACUUGGAAAUAUGGAAAGUUUAUUAUUUACAUACUAAGGCUUUAUGAGGACAGCAGGAGAGGCCUCUCAAGUUGGUCCCAAAUGUCUUGACUAAAAACUUAGAAGUAGACAGGCUUGGGAUUUUUAUUGUUAUAAGGGGGUGGUGCCAGUGCAAGGGCGCUUGCAUACGGACAGAGAAUUGCAUGGUUUAAAAGUUGCAAAGACACCAAAGGAAGUGGCAUCUAGACUUUCUUAUUAGAGUUCCAGAAGUGGAGCAGAAGGGAAAGAGCAAGGUAGUUGUGGGGCUUAAACGUCGUCAGCAGUAAGAUAUUAAAAUUGAAUCAAGGGCUUUUUAUCACCUGAGCUCUGUGUCAGGUCAAGAAAAGACAAGUCCUGCAAAUGGAGAUUUUUUAGGGAGCUGUUGGGCCAAAUAGGGACAAUAGGAGAAGAGCUUUUUGAGGAGAUCCAAACAUGUUCUGCUUCCUUAAGUUGCUUCUAGCCUGCUGGUUUUGACAGCUACCAUGUUUGGGAAGCUGUUGGAGAGGGCAGUGUGCGAAUGUGCAUGGGAAUAAGGAAACUUAAAUACUACAAACCUCACUGUUCCUACUUCCAGUUCCACCAAUUUUCUUUUUUGUGGAAUAAACGUUCCUUGGAUGGUUGUAAGCAUUUGUUUAAUUUCCAGAGUUCUGAAAAACAUUGAUUUUGA